UACGUAGGGUGCGAGCUUUAAUCGGAAUUACUGGGCGUAAAGCGUGCGCAGGCGGUUUUGUAAGUCAGAUGUGAAAGCCCCGGGCUCAACCUGGGAACUGCGUUUGAAACUACAAGGCUAGAGUAUGGCAGAGGGGGGGUAGAAUUCCACGUGUAGCAGUGAAAUGCGUAGAGAUGUGGAGGAAUACCAAUGGCGAAGGCAGCCCCCUGGGUCAAUACUGACGCUCAUGCACGAAAGCGUGGGGAGCAAACAGG
rnacentral:rRNA from 1 species